GCACUGCUGAGGAGUCCCAUAAUAGGACGAAAAGACCGUCCAGUGC
rfam:Schistosoma mansoni strain Puerto Rico chromosome 4, complete genome